rnacentral:rRNA from 1 species
UACAGAGGGUGCAAGCGUUUAAUCGGAAUUACUGGGCGUAAAGCGUGCGUAGACGGUUAUGUAAGUCAGAUGUGAAAGCCCCGGGCUCAACCUGGGAAUUGCAUUUGAGACUGUGUAGCUAGGGUGCGGAAGAGGGAAGCGGAAUUUCCGGUGUAGCGGUGAAAUGCGUAGAUAUCGGAAGGAACACCAGUGGCGAAAGCGGCUUCCUGGUCCAGCACCGACGUCAGGCACGAAAGCGUGGGGAGCAAACAGG